GCAGAAUUCAGGAAAGCAAAGUUGAUCUUGGCUCCGUUUCUGUAAAUCUUGGUAGGCAUAAUUUCAUUCUCAAGACAAGUAGAAAACCUUGACUACCUUCCCCAUCUUGACCCCACCUCCCAAACCCCAUCCAGCCGUGUCUAGAACUUGUAAAGCACGUAGCCUUACUUUUCCAGGAACAAGGUUUAUUGUUGUGCUUCUGCAGAGUCCUCCGUGUGAUUUCUGGGACAGCCCUGUCAACCCUCUGGGUGUGAUCUCAGCCAGAAUGUGUCACGAUGGCAGACAUGGGAUGAAAAGAACUGGGAAGAAAGGAACUGGGAUGUCCAAAUGGUCCUAGACUCCACAGGUGCCUUCAGAGGCAAAGCGGCUUCCUGCUGAAGCCCAGGCCCAUCUCACCAGCAUUUGGACAGAACUGUCACUACUACGGAGGUCCCAGUUUUGGUGACUGUGGGUUCCAAAACGUUACUUUCCUUAGGCGAAGUCAGGCUGAGUUGGCACUGGCUCUUCGAGGAGCACCCAAACCCCACGCUUCCCAUGCUGACCCAUGGAGUAGUAAGAGCCAGGGUCCCGGGCCACCUGCCUGGGAUCUGCCCUGGUUGUGCCACAAGGUUGGGAAUUGGGGCAGGCUUUUAGCUAUCAGAUCCCUCCACAGCUGGAGUUCACAAAAACUUCACUGCGUCACUCAGUGUCAGCCUUUGGCUUCUUGAGCAUCAUCUCGUCUGCCACCAACUUGCUGAUCACUCAGUCUCUUCCUAUUUAAAUCCAAAGGGACAGAGCCUGAUCAGCUCCACAACUUGAAACUCCUGGGCAGGGCUUUUUCUUCCAGCCUCUUCAUAGGUUACCAACCAGUCAGUGGAUGGGCUGCUCUUGAGUUCAGGGGACGCUCUUUUGCCCAGUCAGGGGCCAUUUCUUGUUCAAGCCCAGCCUAAAGCCAUUUUCCUCCCCCGGGCCUCCUGAUAGGGUGGUUUCCCUUAGGAGGGCACUCAGGUGUGGCUGACACCAUCACUCACAAAUCAGAACCCAAACUUCACCAGGAGGCUCUGCUUCUCCCCAUCCACCCCAGCUCCUUGCUAAGCUUUGACAAGCUCGGCAGAACUGAGUGAGAUCCAAGGGACAAAUGCACCCGUGCUUCCUGGCUCCUGGACGUGAGAAGGCUCAGCAGGAAGGCUGGGAUUCACAGAGAAACAUCAUCAGUUGUGCACCGUGUCUGCAAACACUAACCAUUACUGCAGUCUCUGCUGGAGUCUGACUUAUCUCUUUUGAUUUUUAAUUUUAAUGUUUUAAUUUUUUGUAGAGAAAGGGGUCUCGCUGUGUUGCCCAAGCCGACCUUGAACUCCUGGCCACAAGCAUCCUCCUGCCUUGGCCUCCCAGAAUGCUGGGAUUACAGGCACGAGCCACCGCGGCCGGCCCAUGACUUAUCUUUAAAUCCCAGUAGGUAGCCCUACGCCUGGCACUUAGCUGGCCCUCAGGAUACUUUUUUUGGAGUAGCCAUAGAUAAGUAGGGAUGCCCCAGGGAGAUUGGGAUGAGCAAUACUGAGAAGUUUCAGGCACAGUUCUGCGGCCAGAGUGCUUGGUCUCUUUCCACCAUCACCUGGUUUCCCUGGACCAGUUUUACAUCUCAUUAAUAGCUUAUAUUUCAUUUUCUUUGUAGUUCUCUUGCAGUGUUUCCCAAUGUGCAUCCUAUGGGACAAUAGUUCAGUGGAAUAUUAAUUAUUAUAGUGCAAAGGGAUUCUGAGAUCAAGUGAGUUUGGGAAAUACCAAGUUAAAGAAAAGGAAUCCGGUUUAUUUGCUGAGGGACUUAUCAGAGCCUUUACUGUGUUAAUGUAUGUUGUUGCCAUCCACAAAGGUAAUGGAGGCUUUUGUGUUUCCCACACUUUUUUGACCUUGAUCAUUAUUUUUCCCCCAUGAGUAUCUCACAGGACUAGUGUUCUGAGGAGCGGUACACUGAGAAAUGGCACUCUAGAUGGAAAGGAAAUGCUGUCUUUCCCCUUUAUUGGAUAUGUGGGAUUCGCAGAAUUUGCUUAUUUGUCUGAUCCAUGAUUGCUGGAUAUGGGAGGACAGGCAUGUGUUAGACUGUCCAUCUUCAGAGAGGUUUCCUGCUCUUCCAGGUGUCCACUAGUUAUGGCUAUGGUCGCUAUGGUGGCAGCAGGGAGGCCGCAGACCCCAGAGGGGAUUAGGCAUAUCUGUGUAUAAACUUUGGGCAAUUUCUCCCUUUCACUUGGGCUUGAGUCACAGCAUUGCGUACCCUAAGAAAACAGCAUGAGAUAUAUAAAGUUCCCUUCCUCCCACAAAACAGCCUGGUUUUCGUCUCGAUAUGGACGGGCUAGUAGGAGUAGAACAUGGGAUGAUGUAUCGUUUCUCCUGGGUUUCUCAACCUCAGCACGACUGACAUUUGGAUAGGAUCACGGUUUGUGGGGCCUGUGCCUUGGAGGAUGUUUGCGGCAUCUCUACCCACUGGAUGUCAGUAGAAGGUAUCAUUCCUCCUGCCUCCCCAUUGUGAAAACCCAAGAUGUCUGCAAACAUUGCCAAGUGUCCUCUAGGAGACAAAAAUCCCUCUCCCAUUGAGAACCACUGCUUUAAGAGAAGAUUGUGCAGCUGGGCGUGGUGGCUCAUGCCUGUAGUCCCAGCUCUUUGGGAGGCUGAGGUGGGUGGAUCACGAGGUCAAGAGAUCGAGACCAUCCAGGUCAACAUGGUGAAACCCCAUCUCUACUAAAGAUACAAAAAAUUAGCUGGGCAUGGUGGCGCGCGCCUGUAAUCCCAGCUACUCAGGAGGCUGAGGCAGCAGAACUGCCUAAACCCAGGAGGUGGAGAUUGCGGUGAGCUGAGAUCGCACCACUCCACUCCAGCCUGGGUAACAAAAGCGAAACUCUGUCUCAAAAAAAAAAAGGAGAAGAUUGUGCAAAGUCUGUGGAAGGCUGUUGGAAUACUCUUGGAAGCAUUUUAUCAUACUCUUGGAAGAAGGAAAAUAGUGCUAUCAUGCUCAAAGCAUGGUCUGAGAGCCUGUAAGACAUGCCAACUAAUUAAACUCUCCCUUGGGGCGUUUUCUUAACUCAUCCUUAAAGCUCAUGUAUCUGUUGAGUUUCUUGGUUGCAAGUUACAGAAAACCCAACCCAAAAUAGUCUAAGCCAGAAAAUGAAUUUUUUGGCUCUAGUAACUGAAGAGUCCAACAUAGGGCUAACUUCAGGUACAGCUGGAUCCAGGUGCUUAAACAGUGUUAUCAAAAAUCAAUAAUUUUUCCAAAUCUUUGCUCUGAUUCCCCACUAUUGAUUUCAUUCUCAGACAGGCUCUUCCCAUGUGGCAGUGAGAAAGCUGCCAGCAGCUCCGGCCUACUCCUCACUAGAACAGAUCUGGUGGAAAGGGAAAGCUUCUCUUCACUCACGGUUUAAUGCAAGUCCUGGAUCUGAUUCCCAUUGGCCCAGGAUACUAUGCUAUUCUCAUUAGCUAUGCCGGCUUCACAUGCCUGUCCCCGAAGCCUGGGGAGGAGCCAACACCAACGGAACCAUUCAGUAGGGAACAGGGGAGGAAUGGUUCUUUAGAGGCAAACAGGGGCAGUUACUUGAAGAAAGGUUAGUAGAUGCUGGUCAGGGAAGCACCUCUAUUUCCUCAUUAAUAAAAAUAACUAAAGAGCAGCCAAUGGCAGCUCCCACUUGUGGAACAUGAACUCUACCUGCACUGCGUUAUUCCUAAUCACCACCAACAUCCUGAGAGGCAGCUAUUGUCAACCUAUUUUACAGAUGGGUAAGUAGAGUCUCAGAGUUAGGUGAAAUGACUUGGUUGAAGUCACAAAGCGGGGCAGUGGCUGAGCCACAGACCAGAGGCAUCCUUUUCCCUCUUCUAGGACACCCUCUGUAACCAACUUUCUUCCUGCAGCAAUCUGAAAGGAGUCACAAGGUCUCCUGUUGCUAUUUUGGCAAGAAGUGGGCAGAUAUUGGAGGGCUGCGCUCCAGGCUACUGCCCAAUCUUUUCUUGUCAAUUUCAUGCCAGUUUGUGACAAUCAUCCCUGAAGGACCCUAUUGAUAAAACAAGAAAGGGAGUGCGUGGCUGGCAUUUUCUGGCUUGGCUUUGUUUUGUCUGCUUGGUCUGUUUUCCUAGCCUCCUUUUUUGCCCAUUGCCGUUGUUUUAUCUUCCAUUCCCCCGGGGGGCCUUCAGAGGGUGCAUUAUUAAUAAAGCUAACGUUGGCCAGGAGUGGUGGCUUAUGCCUGUAAUCCCAGCACUUUGAGAGGUCGAGGUGGGAGGAUCAUGAGGUCAGGAGUUUGAGACCAUCCUGGCCAACAUAGUGAAACCCCGUCUCUACUAAAAAAACAAAAACAAACCAAAAAAAAUCCCACAAAAAUUAGCUGGGUGUGGUGGUGCACUCCUGUAAUCCCAGCUACUUGAGAGACUGAAGAAGCAGAAGGGGGCCGGGCGUGGUGGCUCAAGCCUGUAAUCCCAGCACUUUGGGAGGCCGAGGCGGGUGGAUCACAAGGUCAAGAGAUUGAGACCAUCCAGGUCAACAUGGUGAAACCCCAUCUCUACUAAAAAUACAAAAAAUUAGCUGGGCAUGGUGGCACGUGCCUGUAAUCCCAGCUACUUGGGAAGCUGAGGCAGGAGAAUAGCCUGAGCCCAGGAGGCGGAGGUUGCGGUGAGCCGAGAUUGCGCCAUUGCACUCCAGCCUGGGUAACAAGAGCGAAACUCCGUCUCAAAAAAAAAAAAAAAAAAGAAGCAGAAGGAUCGCUUGAACCUGGGAGGUGGAGGUUGCAGUGAGCCAAGAUUGUGCCACUGCACUCCAGCCUGGGUGACAGAGCAAGACUCCGUCUCGAAAAACAAAAAAAAAAGCUAAAUUUCCAGAAGGCUUACCAUGUGCUGGACAUUGUGUUAACAAAUUUCCAUGACAUGAUUUCAUGAAGUUUUCUCAACUAUCAUAUCAAGUAGACACUACUAUUAUCCCCAUUUUGCAGAUGCAGCAACUGAGACCUGGAGAGGCUGAAGGACUUGCCCCAGGUUACCCAGCCAGCAGACAGGAGAAUUUGUGUUUGAAUCCAGGCAGGACUUACUGCCUUUAGUGUGGCAUCAAAACUUGACGAAGUUGCAAACCAGUGGCCUGUGAGUCAAAUCUGGCUAACAGAUAUAUUUUGUUUGGCCCACAAAGUAUUUCAAAAACCAUUUGAACUCAUUGCCAAUGUUUAAAAAUUGAGAACCUGCACAUUAAAAAACAAAAUUUGUUCUUUUCUGCUUCUCUUGAAAAAAAAAAAAAGGACUGGCACCACUGGGCCUACAUUCCUGCCUGGCAGAGACUGGCUGGAGCUGCAGCUCAGUCCUACAUGCCUGCUUCGGUUGGGGUGUGUUCCUCCAGCUCGACGCAGUCCCCACCACUCCCUAAAGCCUUCCCAAGGCGGAGGCCAGUGUCAUUUGCUGUGGCUCACUGUUCGUGCUCUGCUGGGUCCCAUGUACCCUCCUGGCUUACCUGCCUGGCUGUGGAGGGCAUGUGGGCUUGCUGUUCCUCCCCCACGUGCAGGGGAUCCCGCCAGCUUCUGACCACAGUGGUUUGGGAUUGCUGUAAUCUCGCCACAAAUUCAGUGGAAAGGUCUCCUGCUGGUGAAGCUCUCUUAGGGACUGGAAGAGUUGGACAGGACCCCAAAUUUUCCUUUCCUCCGAUACCCCAAUCCCACCCCUUCCCAAACUGUGGUUUAUUGGUCAGCCAAGGCCACUUUCUUGGUACUGUUUGUCUUGGGUACAUGACCGCUUUUUCUUGCUCCCCACAGAGCCCCCUAACGUUUUCUUCCUAAUCCUCCUCAGGAGAACCAUCACCUGGAUUAUCAUGAAACCCGAGUGCAUGCGGCGUGAGGUACGACCCUUUACAACUGGCAGACCAUCUCGUUUCUGCCCAGUUCUGUUUGUUUAAACCCUUUGCUGGCAGGACUCCAGCUCAGGGGCAGAGUUCCAUGGCGUUCACAGGCAGAUGUUCUGGCCUGUUGCAAGGAGCAACGUUAAUAGCCAGGACAGGAGAGCUGGUGGCUGGAAUCCAGGGCGAGGGGGUGGAGGGCACCUCACGGGCGCGUUUAGGGAGGAGAGGGAUUGGGAUGAAAACAACGGCUCACAGUACUUUUGCAAAUGGAGUUUACAGGCCCCAUUUAACGCAUGAGAACACCGAGGCUUAGAGAGAUGGGGUUACUUGUACAAGGUUACAAAGGUAGUUAGAGAAGGGAAAAUAGAUGAAAUAUUUUAUAGUUCAGGGCAUAAGACUCUGCCAAUUUCAGGCAUGUAGAUGAUGAUGGUGGUGGUGGUGGUGAUAAUGAUGACGAUAGGAACUGAAAGGCACAGUGAAGGCCUUAAAGAUCUUCUGGAUGUGGUCAUUGUAACCUGUCAAGGCACGACCUGGCUUCUUUUACAGCAUGACUUUUCCUCUAGAAUGACAGAAUGGCCAAGAGUGGGGACGUUGACACUGCACAGACCUGGGGCUGACCCAGCCCUGCUGCUGAGUGGCUGAGUGGCCCCUGUGAGUUCUGUAACUUCCAUGAGCCUCAGUGUCCUCAUUUGCAAAAUGGGAGGAAAGAGUAGAUCAUAGGAAUUUUGUGAGGAAUGAAUGAAAGACUGCAUAUAAAGCGCAGAGCCUGCAUCUGGCAUGCGAGACUUGUUGAAAGAAUGUUAACUUGUCCCGUUUUACUGUGAAGUGGCAACACGAGGUUCUGCACACAGCCAGGGUUCACUGAACACGGCUAAGCCCAGAGUCCUCAUUUGGAGGCAGUGGCGAGAACCCAGGCUCAAGCAGCAGCGCUUCAACUUUCUAAGCAGCUGGAGGGAACAUCACACCCCCUGGAAGUGGGUAAAGUCGGUGCAGGGGAUGAUACUUCCCGUGUAGGUCUGUUGAGGGAUGAGAUGCUGUCUGUAAAGUGCUCAGCGCAUAGUAGGUGCACAACCAAGUUAUUGUUCGUGUGGAGAACUUGUCUCAUGCCCAGACUGGGCUUACCCCAGAUGAGUCAGGGUCAAGUGCACAUCCUUUUCUUCGAGGAAAUCAAGGUGAACCGGGUGAAUGGCUUGGCACCUUCUCACAUGCAGACCUGCUGGGAGUGGGAGGUGGACCUGCAGGGUUCUGCAUAAUCCGGAGCUCAUUUCAUGGACAGAAAAGAAACAAAAAACCAGGCACCCUCUCCUGAGGGCCUGCUAUGUCCAGAUGCUUCGCUGAAAUUGAGAGUAUUUAUUUCUCAGUCACAAACUCAGGUGUGAGAAAAUGGAACUCUGUGUCCAGAACACAGUUAACUCUGGUUUCCAGAUCCCUCCACGAGCCUUACCGCAGGCUGCUUAACCCAGUCCUCUUCUGGCCGGAACUGAGGGAUUUAAGCUCUGAUUUGGGUUUAUAAUUCAGGUUUCCUCCCAGACUCCUCCUCCGGCUCUGGGUCGUGCUGGAGGUGGGAUGUGGGGGCUGGGGGGCUCUCCUCUGGCUCAGCCCCUUCUCUCCAGCUUGGCUCCCAGGGCCUGAUGACUGUUGUACCAAACCGUGGCCUUGACCUCUAUCUGGUGCUGGCCCUGGAGCCCUGUGAGAUGUCAGCCUGGAUGUAGUGGAAGACCUGUGGGAGCCCGGCUCAGGAAAUGCAGAUGCCUUGAGGCCUUCCACAGGUUUUCUCAGGUGCGGACACCCAGCGCUGCCAUCUGCUGUCCCAGGGUGCGAACACCUGCAUCCCCGUAUUCCAGGAGUGCCGUUGCCUGUGCACUCGCAGCAGGUCUCAUCUCAUCCUGGCAGCAGCUUGUAGGGUUGGGAGCAGCUGUGAGCCGUUUGUGCAGGAGUGCUCGGGGUGAUGGUUAGGUGCUUCGUCAUUCAGCCUGGGCGGAAUGAUCCUAAAGCUUGCCCUCCUUCUCCUAGGUAGCACUGCUUCGAACCUAGUCCUAGCAAGACUCCUAGGAGUCUUCUGAUCAUGGGAUAACCUAUCUGUAUCACGGCUCACAAACUGCUUUUAGACCCUCUCUGCUGCAGUGGAGGAAACAGGGCCCCAGAGAGGGGAAGACUUACCCAAGUCACACAGCUAAGAGGCAAAAUCAGGAUUCAGACUCCUGAUUCAACCUCCCAGCGCUCACUCCACUGUGCCUUGUUGGCCCGGCCCUAGAAGGCCUCCUGGCUGGAGGUCAUUGCCUGAGCCUGGGGAUGACACACUGUCCACUGGAUGUCAUGAUUUCUCUAUUGAAGCUAGCUAGACCUUUUGGCAGUGACACAGGAUUUUUCCCUUUCCUUGGGCAAGGCAGUCUCAUACGGGACACUCAGAUGUUGGAUCCCCCUCCUUUUGGCUCAAAGACAGGAGGUAAGACCUGUAUCCUGUUUUCCUAGGGUGGAGAAGGUCUGCACAAAGGAGGAUCCCCUCUUUCCUGGGGACCUGGGACCACCACAGCCUUCUCCACUCCAUGGCCCCCUCCACAGCCUCUGCCCACAUCCCCUUUCCUGGGCUCCAAGUUGUAGCUCGUUAGUUAACUCUUCAUUCCCGAAGUCUCUAAGAAAAAAAUGUCCUCCCCACGCAGUUUCUCCACCUGGGAAACAGGUGGCCUUCUCUCUCUCUCUCUCUCUCUACGGGCGUCAAGUCAGGACAGAAUGCACUGAAAGCAAAGCCCUGCCUGGCUCUGGGCUGCCCGCUGUGUGCUGAGGAUCUGGGGGCAAACCAGCCAUGCUCCCAGCUGAGCGGGAGGUCCUCACAAGCCUGCACAGUUUGACCUUGCUGAGGUGAGGGCUCUGCAUUGACAUGACAGAGAAAGAUGGCACAGGCAUUUCUGGGGGAGUCCCAGGGCCGGCAUUGGAGGCCUGUCGAAGUGCUGAGGCUUCAAUGACAGCGCAUGUGCAGCUGGAGCAGGAAGUGAAAGGCAGGGAUGGGGCUCCUUAAAGAAGGGGCUUGGGGCACCGCCAUCCAUCAUCCACACCACUUCCAGCAUUGCCUCUCCCCCAGGCCCCACCCCACCACCCUGAGGCAGUGGGGAGAGGACAGGGCUCGGCACAAGACAGCCUGGCCUCUUGUUCUUUGAUUCUACCAUCAGCAAAUGACCUUGGGAAAGUCAAUUGACCUCUCUCAGCUUUCGUUUUCUCAUGUGCAAAGUUAGAAUAACACUUAGGCAGUGCAAUCAUAGAUACUGAAAGUACUUUGGAACAAGCAAAAAAAAAAAAAAAAAAAGACCAAUUUGGUGUUUGUCAAUUAAAUGUUUUGAUAACAUUUAUCAAGAUAAUCUCCAUUAAAUAUUCUAAGAGUGGGCUGGAUGUGGUGGCUGAGGUGGGCGGAUCACCUGAGGUCAGGAGUUCGAGACCAGCCUGGCCAACAUGGUGAAACCCCAUCUCUACUAACAAUACAAAAAUGAGCCGGCCAUGGUGGCGGGCACCUGUAGUCCCAGCUACGUGGGAGGCUGAGGCAGGAGAAUCACUUGAACCCAGAGGGUAGAGGUUGCAGUGAGCCAAGAUCGCACCACUGCAUUCCAGCCUGGGUGACAGAUGAAGACUCCAUCCUCCCACCCCCGCAAAAUACAUAUAUUCUAAGAAUGAAGCUCAAAAAGGAAUGGGGAAAGGAUACAAAUUAACCAAUGGGGUACAUUUGGCAAUAACUACUGAGUCCUCAUUUUAUAGGUGGGAAGUAAAGAGCUUUAUUCUUUCGUUCAACAAAAUUUUAUCUGGGCAAUGGCUCAUGCCUGUAAUUCCAGUGCUUUGAGAGGCUGAGGUGGGAGGAUUGUUUGAAGCCACGAGAAUCUUGUCUCAAAAAAAAAAUAAAUAAAAAUAAAAAAGGCCGGAGUGGUGGUGUGUCCCUGUAGUCUCAGCCACUCAGGAGGCUGAGGCGAAAGGAUGACUUAAGCCCAGGAAUUUGAGGUUACAGUGAGAUGUGAUUGUGCCACACACUCCGGCCUCGAUUCGAAGUUAACAUCAAACUCUCUCUUUCUCCUCAUUCUGCCAUCCUCAAUGUAUUUCCUUGAAGAGUCCAGGCAUAUUCCCUCACAGUCAAGAGGCCACUGCUUGGAGUAUCGUGUCUUUGUACAUGGUCUUUGCAUCAUGUCAAGGCAGAAAGUAGGGGCUCCCCAUUUACUAAGAAGAACAAAACUUUCCCAGAAGCCAGACAUGUCUUUGACCAGAACUGGAUCACAUGACCAUCUCUAGCUAUAAGGAACGGGAAGGGAGCAGCCAAUGAAGGGGAAUGGGAGUGCCCUAGCUUCUCAGAUCAAGCAUGCGUCCCCUAGGGCUGGGCGCACCUGCUAAGGCUUGGGGUUCUGUUAGCAAGAGGAAAUGGGAGGCUGGCUGCUGGGGACAGGAGGGGACCUAGGCAACUCCCGGCGCCCAUCUCCUCUCCAGAUGGUUACAUUCCAGAAGUAAGGGAGGAAGUCCAAUCCAGCACUUGCGGUAACACUGCGGUCAUGGUUGUUCCUGGUGGGAGGAUGGAUGUGGUGAACUGAGUAGUGGGGGUGUGGGGCUGAAGGGAGAGGGAGAGAAUUGGAAACCUUGGGUAGUAGGGACUGUGUCAUGCAUUCUCUGGGGCCCCACGUCCCACAUGAGGCCACACGCAGCAUGAGGGUUCAACAGGUGUCGGAUGCUUAAAUAAACAAAUGAACUGGGGGUGGGGGAACAGGGGCAGGACUCAUCUGCUCUGUCACCUGGUGUUCUUAUCCCCACAGGCCCCUGAUACACUUUUCCAGGAAAAGUGUUGUCUCUACCGAGGUUGGAACGUGCUUUCUGCCGUUGGAAAAUGAAAACUCUGCAACCCCAUGUGUUUCUCUUUCUUCCUUAGCUGCCGGAAACCAGAGCCAACUGUGUGGCCCAAGUGUGGGGAGCUGUGCUCCCUGGUUUCUGAAGCACCACCUUUGCUUCCUUUGGGGAGCACUGUUCAGAUUCACCUGCCUUGCACAGAACCUCUGGGCACCCCCAUGCCUAGCCCAGCGCCAGGGCCAAAUCUCAAAGAAACUCAAGUGCUUGACAAGCCCAGAGUCAUCCGACCUGAGAAAGGUGUCUUAUCAAAGUCCACACUCUCCGAUCUUAGAGGAGACAAAAUAGGAGAGCAAUGGCUUCCGUCAAGGCUGAAAGCAAACAUUUUGGCUAUCUUAACGACCACUGAAUCACCGAGUCCACCGUAUUUUUCCACUUUCAAGUUGUUUCUGGGCUGCUGUGGAGACACGCCCUUCCUGGGUUUAACAGCCCUUGUGUCAGGCAGUGGAGAGGAGGCGUGUUUACUUUUUGCAGGGAAAAUAGUGGUUAAUGGUGGGAUGGAUGGACCUGAUUAGUAAUUGGGUGAUUUACCCCAUGGAUGUUCUUUGGGUUUGCCUGGUGGUUCGCACUUGAAUUUUGGCUGAAUGAAGUAGGAGGAAAAUGGUUUUGAGGAGAAAGGGGUGGGUUUGGCUCAUGGUUGAGGGCUGUUUCAGGGACAGGUGGAGGUUUGUGCAGAUCGAGGGAGAAGGCUGUUCCACCUGUUGUUCAAGACUCUUCCUGUGUUCAUUCAGUCACUCGCGUAAUCGCUCACUCACUCAUUCGCUCAUUCAUAGUUGUGAAGUUCCAAGCAGCUUCUCUGUGCUGGGGAUACAGCACACCUCACAACUGCUAAGCACCGUGGAGCCAACGCGAUGGAUAUGCUGUCUCCGCUACAGACUGCAUCUUGUGUCCCCUGCCGAAUUCCUCUGUUGAAAUCUAAUUCCCAAAGUGAUGGUAUUUGGAGGUGGGGUGUUUGGGAGGUGAGUAGGUCUUGAAGGUGGAUCCCUUGCAAACUGGAUUAGUGCCCUUAAAAGAUAGACUGAAAAGAGCUCCCUGGCUCUCUUUCCACCACGUGAGGACACAGGAGGAGUCAGCCCUAACUCAGAAGAGGGCCCUCACCAGAACCUCAUCAUGCUGGCACCUGGAUUUCAGAUUUCCAGCCUCCAGAACUGUGAGAAAUCCAUUUCUAUUAUUUAUAAGUCACCUGGUUUCUGAUAUUUUGUUACAGCAGCCUGAGCUGGCGAAGACACCCUCCUUCAGAGGAGCGUGCAGACUUGAUAAGGGAAACAGAUGGGCCAACAGAUAAUUCCCAGCGGAGGUGUGUUCAAACAUGAGCCCUGGGGGCUUGGUACUAAGCAAAUGGAGGAACAGAGAUGUAAGUAACUUACCCAAGGUCACACAGCCAGCAGAUCUGCACCAAAGCAGUGUGUCCAGGUUUUAUCAUCAUGAUAUCCAGUUCUACUUUGGAAAUGAGUAACUGGGACAUAAAGGUGCUAAAUAAAUGGGAUCAGUUUUAUUGUUAUUAUGAUUCACUGUUAUCCGGCACUGGUUGAGGCUGCUCUGUGUGACAUCCUAGAGGCACCGUCUGUGAGUUCCUGGUCAGGACGAGGAAGACAACACCACUAUCUCUGGCACGUUUAGCAAACUCUGUCUCCAGGGAUGGGGCUGGAAUGCAGUGGGCAGUUACAGGUCACUACAGCCUCCAACUCUUGAACCCAAGCAAUCCUCCCACUUCAGCCUCCCAAGUAUCUGGGACCAUGAGCGUGUGGCACGACGUAGUUCCCUUCUUUUUACACAGUGUGUAGAGACAGGGUUUCACCAUGUUGUCCAGCCUGAUCUUGAGCUCCUGACCUCACUACAGACAGAAGCAUGCUUUGGCCAAACUGGAGUCUGAGACUGGCCUGGGAACUGGGAAAGAGGAUACAUUUGGGAAAACUGCAGUGAAGAAUGCAUAAUAGUGGAAGGAGUCUUGCGGAUGAUUAUCAGGUGGCUCUCAGAAUCAAGAGGAAAGCUGGAGGUGAGCUUCAGGCAGGAGGGGGUAAACUGAGGGAGGAGGAAGACCCUCUCCAGUAAUGGUCCCUUUCACAUGUCACUACUGGCACCAUUACCAUGGCACUACAGGCUCUGGGUCUUGCUAUGCCCCCUGGACUCUUGACCGUCUAGAAGCCUCUGGGAGUCACUUCUUGCUCUGUGCCUUUAGGUCCCUCCUUCCAGAGUCAAAUCCCUCAUGGGCAGGGCUUCUGGAUAAAAUACAGGAUGCCCAGUGACAUUCAACUUUCAGAUAACUGAAAAGUAAUUUUUAGUAGAAAAAAGUUAUUUAUCUGGCUGGGCAUAGUGGCUCAUGCUUGUAAUCCCAGCACUCUGGGAGCCUGAGGGGGUGGAUCACUUGAGGUCAGGAGUUAGAGACCAGCUUGGCCAACAUGGUGAAACCCUGUCUCUACUAAAAAUACAAAGAAAAUUAGCUGGGCAUCGUGGCAGGUGCCUGUAAUCCCAGCUACUGAGGAGGCUGAGGUAGGAGAAUUGCUUGAACCCAGGAGGCAGAGGUUGCAGUGAGACAAGAUUGUACCACUACACCCAGCCUGGGUGACAGAGUGAGACUCUGCCUCCAAAAAAAAAAAGAAGAAAAAAAGUUAUUUAUCUGAAAUUCAAAUUUAACUGAGUAGCCUAUAUUUCUAUUUGCUAACUCUAGCCACCCAACUCAGAAUGCUGGGCUCUGUCUGCUUUGGGGGUCGGUGGGAAGGAACUCUACCCCUUCCACUUCUGGGGUAAGACUAUCAAUCCUGUUGGAUUGGAUUGAUCACACUUGUUUAGAUGAAGAAUAGAUUAUUAAAAAAAAAAAAAGCAAAUACAACUGCAAUUCCUUUAACUCACCCCCUCCCAUUUUUUUUUGAGACAGGGUCUCACUCUGUCAUGCAGGCUGGAGUACAGUGGCAUGGUCAGGGUUCACUGCAGCCUUGAGGUCCUGGGUUCAAGUGAUCCUCCUGCUUCAGCCUCCAGAGUGCCUGGGACUACAGGUGCAUGCCACCACACCCAGCUAAUUUUUGUAACUUUUUUUUUUUGUAGAGAUGGGGUUUUGCCAUGUUGGCCAGGCUGGUCUCAAACUCCUGGGCUCAGACUAUCUGCCCUCCUCAGCCUCCCAAAGUGCUGGGAUUAUAGGUGUGGGCCACUGUGCCUGUCCUGUUCCCCCAUUUAAACAAAAAGUCACCUCCCCGAUUGAUUUUCAAAGCUGCCUUCACUCAAAGAGGGCCUGGAGGAUCGGAAUGACCCAUAGAGUCAUUCAUUGUCUGUGCAGGCUUUUCAUAACACAAAAGAUAGGUCUUCCCCAUCCUUCCCAUCCUCUCCUUGCUGGUCCUCUUAUAUGCAGAGAAUCCAAGGAUCUUCUUACUGAUGAGUCAUCACCACUCACGAGCAGGUGAAGAAGGAGUGGAGCUGAAAUGGAAAUAAUCUAUGGGCUGGACUGUCUAGACAGCGUUUGCUCCUCUGGAUAGGGAGGAGAGCAGACAGAAGCACGCUUGGCCAAACUGAAACUCAAGCCUCACUGCCAGCCCUUCCUGAACCACCUCAGAUGAGCCUGUCUCUGGGCCACAGCCAGAAUUAGCCUGGGGCUGUUUCUCAUUCCUAGUUCAAAGGAUUUGUGCUCCUAGCAGAGGAAAAGCUUGAACAUUUACAGUAAAAAAUCUAGUAAAAAGGGUAAGAAACAGAGGCUGCUUCUUUCUAUCUUUCUUAUCUUUUUGUUUUGGGGAGGACAGUGAAAGAAAAUUACUUUUUUAACUAUAAAACUUUGUCUUAAGAUCAAUUUUGGAAAGAAAAGCAUCUACUAAUUGAAAACAUCACUUUUUGGGCCCUUAAGUCAAGGGAAACAGGUGCAGGUUUGUGGUUUUAGAGAGAGUAUUUCUUUUGGAAAAAAGCAGAAAAAGUACCCAGAUAAGGUCCUUCCAAAGCCAAAUAGACUUUUAUUUUUCAGCCCUUUAUUACAUAGAAGGUGACUGAGAUUAACUGAAAAGUUAAAAGAAAAAUCAACCCUCACCCUUCUAGGUAACACUCCAGUCUCUUCUUUUACUUUCUGAGGCUGAAGAGAGAGCAAAUGUUUACUGCAAUUCUGAUAAGAUUCCCUUUCAAUAUGGUCUGUUCCUGGAUGGAAUCCCACCUUUCAUCUAUCUGCUUUUAUUCUUAAUCCUGUGGCUAAGCCUGGGCCUCCCUUUUCUUCUUGUACAAGCUCAACAGAGCUGGCAUUUUUCCUUUACCAUUUCAGCGAUGUGUUUUUCAGUGUUUUAUCUGGUUGUGAAGGGGCAGGAAUGUCAAGGUCAAAAAAGUAUCAGAAAAAGUCAGUAGAAUUUCUGUACCUGCUGAGGGUUAGGUGCUUGGAUGUUAUAUAUCUCUGCAUUCCCACAGUAAAACCAUGUGAGGUUGGGAAAGUUUUCUUUUUUUAACCUCUCUGGGUAGUUGAGGAAUUGGAGGCUCAGAGAAGAGAAGUAACACAGCUCAAGGUGACACCACUAGGAGCUGAACUUGAAAGCCAAGCCUGUCUGACCUCCAAGCCUUUGCUCCUGUAGUCAUACUACCUUGCCUUCUGCCUUUGCAAACAUGAGGUGGCAAAUCAAGCUAAGAGCUAUGAAAACACCCAGAAGCACUUUUCUUCCAAAUAACUCAUAACGUCUUAUCUUUGGGAGCUAUUCAAUAGGUUUAUUUCAGUAAAAGAUACACCAUUGCUGUGGUUUUAGGGAAUGAUUAUGAAUCUUAUCUUAUUGAUUAAGAAAGAUGGUUAAUGGAGUCUGUUUCUUUAAGAAAUUUGCAUCACAUAUUAGUUAGCUGCUGCCAUGUAACAAGUCACAUCAACACUUAGUGACUUUAAGUAACAACAUGUAUUAUCUUACAGUUUCUGUAGGGAUGGAAACUGGACAUGAUUUAGCUGGGUCCUGUGCUUCAGGGUCUCUAGCAGGCAGCACAUGAGGUGUCAUCUGGGCUAUAGUCAUCAGAUGGCUGGAUUGGGGAAGAUCUGCUUCCAAGUUUAUUUAGAUGGUUGUUGGCAGGAUUCUGUUCCUGGUAGGCUGCCAGCUUUAGUUCCUCAUUGCCUGAUGGCUGGAGGGUUCUCUUAGUUCCUCUUUAUGUGGGUCUCUGCAGCAUGGCUGCUUGCUUCAUCAAAGUGUACAAGAAGGGAGAUAGCAAUUGGAACAUGUCAGCAAGGUGGAUUUCACAUUCCUUUUUUAAACUAACCGUGGAAAUGAUAUUCCAUCACUUUUGGUGUAUUCUAUGUGUCAGGAACAAGACACUAGGUCCAGCCCACCACUCAAAGUAUGCGAUUACACAGGACAUAAAUACUAUAGGGUGGGGAUUAUGGGCAAUUAUGUCAGCAGCUACGUAUCACACAUGAGAGAAGUGGAAAUGGUGGUUAUAAGAACAGUCAUAAUAAUAGUAAUAAGGCUGGUGAAGACAGCCAGCAUUUACUGGGUGUUCUUGAUGUGUCCGGCACUGGGCUAAAUGCCUUCUAUGUGCUGUCUCAUUUAAUCUCAUCACUCUCUUUAACUUCCCUGAGGUACUACGGCAAAGAAAUUAGGACCUUACUCCAUUGUUUCUACUCCAAAGUUCAUCCCUUUACAUGAUGCAGAUCAUUCAUAUGAAUCCAAUGAGCUGCUGAGGCCCCAAGAAAGCCCUGAUUGAGAGAGGAAUCUGAUAAAUGAAGCUGAACUCACUGCUCAUCAGAAAGUUGCAGAUGAACAUGACCAGAAGCCAUUUCUUACCCAUCAGAUUGGAAAAGAAAAUGUAAGUUGGUGAGAGUGUGGAGAAUUCUCAUACACUGCUGAGAGGCUAUAAAUUUGUACUGCCACCUUGGAGGGAAAUUUGGCAGGAUCUAUUAAAAUUUUAAAAGAACAUAAACAUUAAAAAUGUGCAUAGCCUAUGACCCAGAAAUUAUACUUUUGAGUAUCUACCUUAGAGAAAUACUUGCACAUGUGUACAAAGAACUGUAUACAAGAAUUUUCAUUGCAGUACUGUUUCUAAGAGUAAGUAAUAAAUAGUAAAACUGAAACAUAGUGUAAAUGUUCAUCAGUUUUAAAAAUGGCUAAAUAAAUUGUGGAAAUCAUUCUACCAAAAAGACACAUGCACUUAUAUGUACAUCACAGCACUAUUCACAAUAGCAAAGACAUGGAAUCAACCUAGGUACCUAUCAAUGGUGGACUGGAUAAAGAAAAUGUAGUACAUAUGCACCAUGGAAUACUAUGCAGCCAUAAAAAGAACAAAAUCAUGUCCUUUGCAGCAACAUGGGUGCAGCUAGAGUCCAUUAUUCUAAGUGAAUUAUCUCGGGAACAGAAAACCAAAUACUUCAUGUUCUUACUUGGAAGUGUGAGUUAAACAAUGGGACUCAUGAACAUAAAGGUGGAGACAGGAGACACUAGGGAAUACUGCAGCGGGAGGAGAGAAGAGAAGGAUUGAAAUACUAACUAUUGGGUACUAUGCUCAACACCUCGGUGAUGGGAUCAAUUGUACCCUAAACCUCAGGAUCAUGCAAUAAACCCAGGUAACAAACCUACACAUGUACCCUUUGAAUCUCACAUGUACCCUUUGAAUCUAACAUAAAAGUUAAAAGCAUUUUUUAAAAAAAAUAUAUUGUGGAGCAUCCGUACUAUGGGAAACUAUGCAGCUGGUAAAGAGAAUCUGCGGUAAAGGUGGAUCUGGUAUUAGUUCAUUUUCAAACUGCUGAAAAACACAUACCUGAGACUGGGCAAUUUACAAAAGAAAGAGGUUUAUUGAACUUACAGCUCUACAGGCUGGGGAGGCCUCACAGUCAUGGUGGAAGGCCAUGAGGGGCAAGUCACAUCUUAUGUGGAUGG